rnacentral:misc_RNA from 1 species
GAUGAAGAACGUAGCGAAAUGCGAUACGUAAUGUGAAAUGCAGAAUUCAGUGAAUCAUCGAAUCUUUGAACGCAUAUUGCGCUCUUUGGUAUUCCGAAGAGCAUGCUUGUUUGAGUAUCAGUAAACACCUCAAAGCUUUUGGAUUUUUUAAUCGAAAAGCUUUGGACUUGAGCAAUCCCAACACCAAUCUUUUUGAGAUCGGUGGCGGGUUGCUUGAAAUGCAGGUGCAGCUGGACAUUCUCCUGAGCUAAAAGCAUAUUCAUUUAGUCCCGUCAAACGGAUUAUUACUUUUGCUGCAGCUAACAUAAAGGGAGUUUGACCGUAUUGGCUGACUGAUGCAGGAUUUCACAAGGGUCGGCAACGAUUCUUGUUAAACUCGAUCUCAAAUCAAGUAAGACUACCCGCUGAACUUAAGCAUAUCAAUAAGCGGAGGA